rnacentral:rRNA from 1 species
CUCUAGUAUAAGCAAUUAUACCGUGAAACUGCGAAUGGCUCAUUAAAUCAGUUAUCGUUUAUUUGAUAAUACCUUACUACUUGGAUAACCGUGGUAAUUCUAGAGCUAAUACAUGCUGAAAAUCCCGACUUCGGAAGGGAUGUGUUUAUUAGAUAAAAAACCAAUGCCCUUCGGGGCUUUUUGGUGAUUCAUGAUAACUUUACGGAUCGCAUAGCCUUGCGCUGGCGACGGUUCAUUCAAAUUUCUGCCCUAUCAACUUUCGAUGGUAAGGUAUUGGCUUACCAUGGUUUCAACGGGUAACGGGGAAUUAGGGUUCGAUUCCGGAGAGGGAGCCUGAGAAACGGCUACCACAUCCAAGGAAGGCAGCAGGCGCGCAAAUUACCCAAUCCCGACACGGGGAGGUAGUGACAAUAAAUACUGAUACAGGGCUCUUUUGGGUCUUGUAAUUGGAAUGAGUACAAUUUAAACCUCUUAACGAGGAACAAUUGGAGGGCAAGUCUGGUGCCAGCAGCCGCGGUAAUUCCAGCUCCAAUAGCGUAUAUUAAAGUUGUUGCAGUUAAAAAGCUCGUAGUUGAAACUUGGGCCUGGCUGGCGGGUCCGCCUCACCGCGUGCACUCGUCCGGCCGGGCCUUCCUUCUGAAGAACCUCAUGCCCUUCACUGGGCGUGCUGGGGAAUCAGGACUUUUACUUUGAAAAAAUUAGAGUGUUCAAAGCAGGCCUUUGCUCGAAUACGUUAGCAUGGAAUAAUAAAAUAGGGCGUGCGUUUCUAUUUUGUUGGUUUCUAGAGACGCCGCAAUGAUUAACAGGAACAGUCGGGGGCAUCAGUAUUCAGUUGUCAGAGGUGAAAUUCUUGGAUUUACUGAAGACUAACUACUGCGAAAGCAUUUGCCAAGGAUGUUUUCAUUAAUCAGUGAACGAAAGUUAGGGGAUCGAAGACGAUCAGAUACCGUCGUAGUCUUAACCGUAAACUAUGCCGACUAGGGAUCGGGCGAUGUUCUUUUCUGACUCGCUCGGCACCUUACGAGAAAUCAAAGUUUUGGGUUCUGGGGGGAUUAUGGUCGCAAGGCUGAAACUUAAAGGAAAUGGACCGGAAGGAU